CGCGUGGUAAGGAACCAUUCGUUUUUAUUCUGCGGAAAAUAAAACACCAUAAAAAUUACGAUUGAGCUUUCAUGUAUGUAUUCUGUUCGGUUUCGUUUUCGUAUUGGUGCGCAAGUUUGAAAAUUAAUUGCGAUACAGUAUGCGAUUCUGAUGAGCCUGCGAAAGAAAAUGGAAAAAUCAACUACACAGAUUACAUUACGUUACCAUACCAGUUACUUUCAGAAGAGUACAUCAUAAGAACAAUAUGUAUAAGAUAAAUUUCGCGCAAAAAAUCCACAUUUCACGGCGAUUAGUAAGGUAUUUUUUACACGUGAAAACGCUAGCGUUUAAUUUUGCUUACUUGGGUUGAUAAAAUUUAACGUUUACACCGUUUGAUUUCACACUAUGUCGUCGCCAACGAGCGAAAAAAUGAGCGAAGGAAAAAAAAAGAAGAAUGAAAAGAACGUUUACUUUCAUACACGACGUAACAUCGUAUACUAAUUUAAUGCCAUCUUGUUUGUUGUUUCUUUAUAAGUCAUAGUAUUAUAAUUAAAAACAUUAUUACGCUU